CCCCUGUACCGGCAAAGCCCUAAUUCAAACCCUGUCUGCCUCUCUGUUCUCUCGAAUCAAGUUCACGACUGUCUACUCGUCCUUGUAAUGAAGAGCAAAGUGGGUUGGUAUCAGAUUUUGAUUCUAGUGGACAUAUACGUAUGUUAAUGAUGUUAAAGAUGGUAAGAGGACGACAGAUUUUUGCUCCAAGUGUUUCACUAAUCAACUUCUCUAUGCUAUAAACGGAACUGCUCUUAAUGAGAUAAACAAUUUUGCAUUUGGUUUUAAUAUACAAUGGCGUGGAAGGUUGCAAGCUGCCUCUGUUUCUUCUGAUGUACCAAAAGUCAAGAGAGUUCAGAAAAAAGUUUCGAAAGAUGAACGACGUGCUAUGAUGGAAGCUUUUGUGAACAAGUAUUUAUUUUAAUUUUUUUACAUAUGUGGUUGAUUUAUUAAAUUUACUCUUUGAGUAUAUGGUAUUUUAGAACUUGCUAUUCUCUAUGUAUUUACAGAAUGUGCUAAUUCCAAACAUGCAUUUAAAUCAUUUGGAAUGAGACUUUUUUCCUUUUAAUUAAAACAA